rnacentral:rRNA from 1 species
UGAGCAAUCUGCCCUUCUCAUCGGAAUAAGCGUUGGAAACGACGUCUAAUGCCGAAUACGACCUCCUUUCGCAUGAUCGGAGGUGGAAAGCUCCGGCGGAGAAGGAUGAGCUCGCGGCCUAUCAGCUAGUUGGUGUGGGUAACGCCCACCAAGGCGACGACGGGUAGCCGGCCUGAGAGGGUGACCGGCCACACUGGGACUGAGACACGGCCCAGACUCCUACGGGAGGCAGCG